rnacentral:rRNA from 1 species
GACGAACGCUGGCGGCGUGCUUAACACAUGCAAGUCGAACGGAAAGGCCCUGCUUUUGUGGGGUGCUCGAGUGGCGAACGGGUGAGUAACACGUGAGUAACCUGCCCUUGACUUUGGGAUAACUUCAGGAAACUGGGGCUAAUACCGGAUAGGAGCUCCUGCUGCAUGGUGGGGGUUGGAAAGUUUCGGCGGUUGGGGAUGGACUCGCGGCUUAUCAGCUUGUUGGUGGGGUAGUGGCUUACCAAGGCUUUGACGGGUAGCCGGCCUGAGAGGGUGACCGGCCACAUUGGGACUGAGAUGCGACCCAGACUACUACGGGAGGCAGCAGUGGGGAAUAUUGCACAAUGGGCGGAAGCCUGAUGCAGCAACGCCGCGUGCGGGAUGACGGCCUUCGGGUUGUAAACCGCUUUCGCCUGUGACGAAGCGUGAGUGACGGUAAUGGGUAAAGAAGCACCGGCUAACUACGUG